GCCGAAGUGGCGGAAUGGCAUACGCGGCGGUCUCAAAAACCGUUGAGGGCAACCUCAUAAGGGUUCAACUCCCUUCUUCGGCA
rnacentral:tRNA from 2 species